GGUUUGGUCUGACAGAAGAAGCCUAUAUAAGGGAGGAGUAGUGGAGGAGUAGUGGAGGAGUAGUGGAGGAGGAGUGGAGGAGCAGUAGAGGACGAGUUGGUCACUCUUGAAUUGAUUGUGGAAGGAGAAAGACCUGUUUUGUUUUUUUUAUUAAUCCCAAGCUCUGACACUAACGCUAACUCUACUGCCAUCUAGUGGUCACUCUAGUGUACUGCUAUUUUGGUACUUGCGUUCAAACAAUGUCAUCUCAAAGGACGAUGUUUUUUGCAAAUAAAACCCGAACACCCGAACAUAGCCUUACCCCAAUUCGGCCAUGAGCUUUCGAUUGAGACCACCCGCGACUCUGUACGACUUUCGGUUCCGAAGAUACGGCCGUUUUUUUUUACUGUUACACCCACUUCCGGUGGACACAGGAAGUCGGAAAUCCCAAAUGAAAGCUCGCGGCCACUUAUGGGGGGAGCGUUGGCAAGUUAAUGACCAGCCUUGUUCUUACCAGUCCAACACUGGACUGCAGGACAACGUCCAUGUUGGAUGCGGCUUCAAUGUUUCCCGCCAAGGCUUUGAGGUGAACUCCUUUUGGAGCGUCCAUCGUGAGCGAGCGAGUGGGAGACUCCAACCUGAGGAGGAACAAAGAAACGCUGCCUUGUUUCACUCCGGACGACGAUGACAACACAAGAUGGCUGACGAGCUCACCUCAGGUCUUUCAGGAGUUCGGACUUGAGUAGAGGAACCUCCACUGAAUGCUGGAACAAAGCUCCUUCGAGACCUGAUCACGGAUACAUAAACUACAUGGAUUGCAGUAUUCAAACCAACCACCAGAUGGCACUAUUGUUCCUGAAAUGGAUUUUAAUAUUCGCUAGAAAGUGUUUAUUGUUAGCCGUACUGUGAAGUGGCUAGCAAGUCCUCCUCGUGCGCGUGUGUUCCGGUUUUCCUCCCACAUUCCAAAACAUGCAUGGUAGAUUAAUUGGCGACUCUAAAAUAUUUAUAAAUAUCAAAAAUAUCGGUAUAAAUGUGAGUGUGAAUGGUUGUUUGUUUAUAUGUGCCCUGUGAUAAACGGAUGGUCUGUCAUUACGGAAUUCUAAUGUUAAUGGGUGUGGCCAAGACAUUAUUACAAGUAUUUGAUUGAGCCUUAUGAAAUCUGCCUAGCAACAAGUGGCCUCAGUACAGGUCACUAAAUCUUCCAAAAUAUAACUAGUUGAAUUAAAAAAAAAGUGAAAUUAUCAAUAAUACAAUAAUAUAAUAUAAUAAUAAAAAUGAUUGAUAAAGUUAAAUGAUCAAAUUAAUUAUGGACUCCAGCAUAGCGUAACGCUAGUGAGGAUAAGCAGCAUAGAAAAUGGAAAAUUUGUUUCUUUCAUCUUUUUCCGGAUUCCGGAGUCGCCACAGCGGCUCUUUUUGAUCCGUAUACUGAUUUUUGGAUUUAGCCCUUUAUAUUCCAGAUGCCCUUCCUGACAAAUACUGAUGGAUCAAAAUAAAAAACACGUUUUUUAGGAAUACCUGGAAUAUGAAAUGAUAUAUUUUUUUCAUUAUGAAGAUAUUUCAAGAAAACAACCUGACCGGGUCAUUUUUGACCCACUUAUGGAAGGUUGGGGUAGUAACACAAAAACUAAAAUUUCUUAAAAUGUAUAAAAGGUAAGUUAAAAAUGUGAAUGGUAUGAUAUCAAAAAUAUGUUUUUUGAGGAAUACCUGGAAUAUGAAAUGAUUAAAAAAUUCAUUACGAAGAUAUUUCAAGAAAACAACCUGACCGGGUCAUUUUUGACCCACUUAUGGAAGAUUUCUUAAAAUGUCUUAAAAUGUAUAAAAGGUAAGUUAAAAAUGUGAAUGGCAUGAUAUCAAAAACAUGUUUUUUGAGGAAUACCUGGAAUAUGAAAUGAUAAAAAUUUUUCUUUGUACCUGUGAUGCGUAGUUUAUCGGGUCCAAUCACGGCCUGCUUUCCGUCCGCACUGAACAGCAUGUCGCCAGUUUGGGAGCUGAGGAUCAUGUCCGCCGUGUGGCCCUCAGCCUGUUUUGGACCUGCACAGAUGCAGGGAAAAGAACAAAUUGACGGACUUGUCUGGAGUGGAUCUCCUCGGCGUAGAGGGGCAGCAGGAACUCGGAUUCGCCGUCUUCCAGCUUGACGCCGUCAGAGUGGACUUGCAGGAGGCCCAUCCCUUCCUGAGGUCACAUAAUAAACGUAUUUGGGCAAGGAAACAGCAAGUGAGACUAAACCAUACGCACCGAGUUGAACCACAUGACCCUGAAGAUCCAGAUGAUCAAUGAUGAAGCCUCCUGAGAUGCAACAUCAAGCUGAAUGUGACAUCAACAGCAGCGAGAAGAAGCAGUCUGCUGACACCAAGGCAGAUGGAGCUCCAUCUGCAGCUGCCUGCAGCAUGGCCUCCAGUCAGCACUGUCUCAGCGUUUGGCCGCCAUGACGACAAGCAGAGCGCCAAAGGACUGCCGCAAAGGAACGCGUGUUACCUUGUAUUCGUUCCCCCGCAUUAGGAGGCAGGAUGCACACAAAAGGACUUCAUGCUUAUACAGGACAUAAAACACAUGGAACUACAGGUAAAACUACAGUAUCAGAGUGUUAGAUUAA